rnacentral:rRNA from 1 species
UACGAAGGGGGCUAGCGUUGCUCGGAAUCACUGGGCGUAAAGCGCACGUAGGCGGGUUCUUAAGUCAGGGGUGAAAUCCUGGAGCUCAACUCCAGAACUGCCUUUGAUACUGGGAAUCUCGAGUCCGGGAGAGGUGAGUGGAACUGCGAGUGUAGAGGUGAAAUUCGUAGAUAUUCGCAAGAACACCAGUGGUGAAGGCGGCUCACUGGCCCGGUACUGACGCUGAGGUGCGAAAGCGUGGGGAGCAAACAGG